GACGAACGCUGGCGGCGUGCCUAAUACAUGCAAGUAGGACGCAGUUGCGAACGGGUGAGUAACGCGUAGGUAACUGCCUCUUAGAGGGGGAUAACUAUUGGAUACGAUAGCUAAUACCGCAUACUAGUAGAUGGACCUGCGUUGUAUUAGCUAGUAGGUAGGGUAAUGGCCUACCUGGGCAACGCUACAUAGCCGAACAGAGAGGGUGAUCGGCCACACUUGGACUGGGACCCGGCCCAGAAGCCGACGGGAGGCAGCAGUAGGGAAGCGUAGGCAAUGGGGGGAACCAUGAACGAGCAACGCCGCGUGAGUGAAGAAGGUUUUCGGAUCGUAAAGCUCUGUUGUGAAGGAAGCGGUACUGAGCCAGAAAGGGACGGCUAACUACGUGCCAGCAGCCGCGGUAAUAG
rnacentral:rRNA from 1 species